rnacentral:rRNA from 1 species
AGCGAACGCUGGCGGCAGGCCUAACACAUGCAAGUCGAACGAACCUUUCGGGGUUAGUGGCGGACGGGUGAGUAACACGUGGGAACGUUCCUUUAGGUUCGGAAUAACUCAUGGAAACUUGUGCUAAUACCGAAUGUGCCCUUCGGGGGAAAGAUUUAUCGCCUUUAGAGCGGCCCGCGUCUGAUUAGCUAGUUGGUUGAGGUAAUGGCUCACCAAGGCUACGAUCAGUAGCUGGUCUGAGAGGAUGAUCAGCCACAUUGGGACUGAGACACGGCCCAAACUCCUACGGGAGGCAGCAGUGGGGAAUCUUGCGCAAUGGGCGAAAGCCUGACGCAGCCAUGCCGCGUGAAUGAUGAAGGUCUUAGGAUUGUAAAAUUCUUUCACCGGGGACGAUAAUGACGGUACCCGGAGAAGAAGCCCCGGCUAACUUCGUG